rnacentral:rRNA from 1 species
UACGUAGGGGGCAAGCGUUGUCCGGAUUUAUUGGGCGUAAAGAGCGUGUAGGCGGCCUGGAAGGUCAGCUGUGAAAACUCGAGGCUCAACCUCGAGACGUCGGUUGAAACCACCUGGCUAGAGUCCGGAAGAGGAGAGUGGAAUUCCCGGUGUAGCGGUGAAAUGCGCAGAUAUCGGGAAGAACACCCGUGGCGAAGGCGGCUCUCUGGGACGGUACUGACGCUGAGA